GGAAUCUGGGGUAGAGGUAGACCCAGGAAGACAUGGGAUGAGGUAGUGCAGCACGACUUUCGAACAUUAGGCCCCACCGAGGCAAUGACUAGUGACUGAGACCUUUGGAAAUAUGCUGUGCGUGAGAAGACCUGGCAGGAUAAGUGAGACCAUAGCCCAUGGCUUUUACCAGGGUUGUAGCCAGCCCACUUAUG